rnacentral:rRNA from 1 species
UACGGGGGGGGGCAAGCGUUGUUCGGAAUUACUGGGCGUAAAGGGCUCGUAGGUGGCCAACUAAGUCAUACGUGAAAUCCCUCGGCUUAACCGGGGAACUGCGUCUGAUACUGGAUGGCUUGAGAUUGGGAGAGGGAUGCGGAAUUCCAGGUGUAGCGGUGAAAUGCGUAGAUAUCUGGAGGAACACCGGUGGCGAAGGCGGCAUCCUGGACCAACACUGACACUGAGGAGCGAAAGCCAAGGGGAGGCAAACGGG